rnacentral:rRNA from 1 species
GAUACGCGAUGAACUUUACCCGGGCUCAAACGGUGAUUGAUUCAGGCAGAGACGCCUGUUUCCCACGGGACACUCCCCGAGGUGCUGCAUGGUUGUCGUCAGCUCGUGCCGUGAGGUGUCGGCUUAAGUGCCAUAACGAGCGCAACCCCCGCGUGCAGUUGCUAACAGAUAACGCUGAGGACUCUGCACGGACUGCCGGCGCAAGCCGCGAGGAAGGCGGGGAUGACGUCAAAUCAGCACGGCCCUUACGUCCGGGGCGACACACGUGUUACAAUGGGUGGUACAGCGGGAAGCCAGGCGGCGACGCCGAGCGGAACCCGAAAUCCACUCUCAGUUCGGAUCGGAGUCUGCAACCCGACUCCGUGAAGCUGGAUUCGCUAGUAAUCGCGCAUCAGCCAUGGCGCGGUGAAUACGUUCCCGGGCCUUGUACACACCGCCCGUCAAGCCAUGGGAGCCGAGGGCGCUUGAAGUGCGUCGCCGCGAGGCGCGCCCUAGAGCGAAAUCGGUGACUGGGGCUAAGUCGUAACAAGGUAACCGU